GAUGAACGCUGGCGGCGUGCUUAACACAUGCAAGUCGAACGAUGAAGCCCAGCUUGCUGGGUGGAUUAGUGGCGAACGGGUGAGUAACACGUGAGUAACCUGCCCUUGACUCUAGGAUAAGCCCGGGAAACUGGGUCUAAUACUGGAUAGGAACGUCUACCGCAUGGUGGGUGUUGGAAAGAAUUUCGGUCAUGGAUGGACUCGCGGCCUAUCAGCUUGUUGGUGAGGUAAUGGCUCACCAAGGCGACGACGGGUAGCCGGCCUGAGAGGGUGACCGGCCACACUGGGACUGAGACACGGCCCAGACUCCUACGGGAGGCAGCAGUGGGGAAUAUUGCACAAUGGGCGAAAGCCUGAUGCAGCGACGCCGCGUGAGGGAUGACGGCCUUCGGGUUGUAAACCUCUUUCAGUAGGGAAGAAGCGAAAGUGACGGUACCUGCAGAAGAAGCACCGGCUAACUACGU
rnacentral:rRNA from 1 species